CGAUAUCAAUAAGCGGAGGAAAAGAAAAUAACAAUGAUUCCCCUAGUAACUGCGAGUGAAGAGGGAUAAGCUCAAAUUUUAAAUCUGACGAGUCCUACCUUUCAGAGUUGUAAUUUGAAGAAGCGUUUUCUGCGUCUUGUUAACCUAAAUCUUUUGGAACAAGGUAUCAUGGAGGGUGACAGUCCCGUUCAUGGUUAACAUCAAGAUGCGUUACGAUACGUUUUCUAAGAGUCGAGUUGUUUGGGAUUGCAGCUCAAAAUGGGAGGUAAAUUUCUCCUAAGGCUAAAUAUUGGCGAGAGACCGAUAGCGAACGAGUACCGUGAGGGAAAGAUGAAAAGAACUUUGAAAAGAGAGUUAAACAGUACGUGAAAUUGUUGAAAGGGAAACGAUUGAAGUCAGUCGUACUAACGGGAAAUCAACCUAUUUGGGUUGUGAAUUUUGGAUUUUGAAGAGUGUAAACCUUUGGGGUUCAAACAUUUGCGCUCUUUAGGCGUAAUUUCUCGUUCGGUAGGUUAACAUCGAUUUUGAAGAUUAUAAAAUGACCGGAGGAAUGUAGCUUCGAUCUCGUAUUGAAGUGUUAUAGCCUUUGGUAGAUGUAAUGAUCAAGAUCGAGGAUUGCAACGAAUACCCUUUUGGGCUAUCCGUCUGGUCUCUGAUACGUUGCCUCGGUAACGAAAGCUUGCUUACGGUAUUGAGGUAUUACGGUCAAUAGGUUAGAACGUGAUUACAUUCGUUAAGGAUGUUGACGUA
rnacentral:rRNA from 1 species